GGAGAGGUGACCGAGUGGCCGAAGGUGCAUGAUUGGAAAUCAUGUGUAUGUGCAAGCGUACCGCGGGUUCGAAUCCCGCCCUCUCCG
rnacentral:tRNA from 1 species